rnacentral:misc_RNA from 1 species
ACACUUAGGACAUUUCAAUGAAUUCAAAUUUUGUACUUUGUUGUAGAUGCUGCCCUAUUCCAUGACUUGAUGUAUGAGAAUAUGGUUUAGAAGAAGAAAUUUGAUGUUGAUUUCCUUUUCCGCCAGAGUCUUGACAAAAUUGAUAGGUUUCUAAAUGGUGGAUGACAAGGAAAAGCUUGCUAAUAAUGGAUCAUGUGAGACGAUUAUUGGAUCUUUCAAAAUGGUGGAGUAUUAGAUUGUGUGACAAUUAUUGGAUCUUGGAUUCUAAAAACUGGUUCUCAUAAUUUUCUUCUUUCUUGUGAAUGCAUGUUUAUAGAGUUUUCUAAAGGUUCUCAAAGUAUUGUAUUUCAGGCUUUAGCUUUCCCUUGCAUGCUACUUGGUUACUUGGUUUACCCCCUUUACCUUUGCACCUUUUUUAAUGACUCAAUCUUGUAUACAAAAGCAUUACACAGUAUUUAG